ACUAACAAGGAUUCCCCUAGUAACUGCGAGUGAAGCGGGAAAAGCUCAAAUUUAAAAUCUGGCAGUCUUGGGCUGUCCGAGUUGUAAUCUAGAGAAGUGUUAUCCGCGCUGGACCGUGUACAAGUCUCCUGGAAUGGAGCGUCAUAGAGGGUGAGAAUCCCGUCUUUGACACGGACUACCAGGGCUUUGUGAUGCGCUCUCAAAGAGUCGAGUUGUUUGGGAAUGCAGCUCAAAAUGGGUGGUAAAUUCCAUCUAAAGCUAAAUAUUGGCGAGAGACCGAUAGCGAACAAGUACCGUGAGGGAAAGAUGAAAAGAACUUUGGAAAGAGAGUUAAACAGUACGUGAAAUUGCUGAAAGGGAAACGCUUGAAGUCAGUCAUGUUGGCCAGGAAUUAGCCCAGCAUUUUUCUUGCUGGGUGCACAGUCCUGGUUUGGCAGGUCAGCAUCAAUUUUGACCAAUGGAUAAAAGUGUGGGGAAUGUGGCAUCUUUUUUGAUGUGUUAUAGACUCAUGCUGGAUGUAUUGGUUGGGAUUGAGGAAUUCAGCACGCCGAAAGGCCGGGAGUUUAUCCACGUUCGUGCUUAGGAUGCUGGCAUAAUGGCUUUAAUCGACCCGUCUUGAAACACGGACCAAGGAGUCUAACAUGCAUGCGAGUAUUUGGGUGGAAAACCCAUGUGCGCAAUGAAAGUGAAAAUUA
rnacentral:rRNA from 1 species